rnacentral:rRNA from 1 species
UACAGAGGUCCCAAGCGUUGUUCGGAUUUACUGGGCGUAAAGGGUGCGUAGGUGGUUGGGUAAGUCUGAUGUGAAAUCUCCGGGCUCAACCCGGAAAUGGCAUUGGAAACUACCUGACUAGAGGGUUGGAGGGGGGACUGGAAUACUUGGUGUAGCAGUGAAAUGCGUAGAUAUCAAGUGGAACACCAGUGGCGAAGGCGAGUCCCUGGACAACUCCUGACACUGAGGAGCGAAAGCCAGGGGAGCAAACGGG